rnacentral:rRNA from 1 species
UACAGAGGUCCCAAGCGUUGUUCGGAUUCAUUGGGCGUAAAGGGUGCGUAGGCGGCGAGGUAAGUCGGGUGUGAAAUCUCGGGGCUUAACUCCGAAACUGCAUUCGAUACUGCCGUGCUUGAGGACUGGAGAGGAGACUGGAAUUUACGGUGUAGCGGUGAAAUGCGUAGAUAUCGUAAGGAAGACCAGUGGCGAAGGCGGGUCCCUGGACAGUUCCUGACGCUGAGGCACGAAGGCCAGGGGAGCAAACGGG